rnacentral:rRNA from 1 species
AGAUUGAACGCUGGCGGCAUGCUUUACACAUGCAAGUCGAGCGGCAGCGCGGGGGCAACCUUGGCGGCGAGCGGCGGACGGGUGAGUAAUGCAUCGGAACGUAUCCCGUAGUGGGGGACAACCCAGCGAAAGCUGGGCUAAUACCGCAUAUGCUCUACGGAGGAAAGCAGGGGACCUGGAAACGGGCCUUGUGCUAUGGGAGCGGCCGAUGUCCGAUUAGCUAGGUUGGGUAGGGGUAAAGGCUUACCGAAGGCGACGAUCGGUAGCUGGUCUGAGAGGAUGAUCAGCCACACGUGGGACUGAGACACGGCCAGACCUCGUACGGGA